rnacentral:rRNA from 1 species
GUAAGGAAUAUUGGUCAAUGGGGGCAACCCUGAACCAGCCAUGCCGCGUGAAGGAUGAAGGCGUUAUGCGUUGUAAACUUCUUUUGUAUGGGAAGAAUGACAGGGAUUUAUCCUUGGAGAGACGGUACCAUACGAAUAAGCACCGGCUAACUCCGUGCCAGCAGCCGCGGUAAUACGGAGGGUGCAAGCGUUAUCCGGAAUCACUGGGUGUAAAGGGUACGUAGGCGGUUAAUUAAGUCAGUAGUGAAAGACUGUCGCUCAACGACGGAUGUGCUAUUGAUACUGGUUAACUUGAAGCAGGUUAGAGUUGGCGGAAUGGGUCAUGUAGCGGUGAAAUGCUUAGAUAUGACUUGGAACACCGAUAGCUGAGGCAGCUGACUGAGCCUUGAUUGACGCUGAGGUACGAAAGUGUUGGUAGCGAACAGGAUUAGAAACCCCGGUAGUCC